rnacentral:rRNA from 1 species
UACAGAGGUCUCAAGCGUUGUUCGGAAUCACUGGGCUUAAAGGGCGCGUAGGCGGGCUGUCAAGUUUGGGGUGAAAUCCCCGCGGCUCAACCGUGGAACUGCCUCAAAUACUGACGGUCUCGAGGGAGGUAGGGGCGAGCGGAACGAUGGUGGAGCGGUGAAAUGCGUUGAUAUCAUCAGGGAACUCCGGUGGCGAAGGCGGCUCGUGGACCUUUUCUGACGCUG